UCACAGCACAACAUUUUGAAGAGACAAUGUGGCCGAUUUCAAGGAGACAAGUUUAGUUUGCGAGGGAACUACAAUUACUCCAGAUCAGGAACUGAUUCACAGCACAACAUUUUGAAGAGACAAUGUGGCCGAUUUCAAGGAGACAAGUUUAGUUUGCGAGGGAACUACAAUUACUCCAGAUCAGGUACAGUGAUACUGACGACUCAAUCAGAGAAAGGUUAUGAUACAUGCAGUGACUUGGAAUCUUAACUGACCAACUCCUACGCAGUACUUCAGACGGGCCCGUAUCUCCGUACAACGUGGUGAUCAGAUAUUUGAAGGACAAGCUGGAGCAGGCGGAAAACCAACAUUCUGGACACCCCCUUCCUCAGUCGCAAGUACCUAGAUUUUCAGUGUCUCAAGUCCCUAAAACCUGCUCUUGCCCUCAUUCAGACUGCUGUUCAAACUAAGACAAGUUCUAGAAGUUUAAGAUCGAGAUUUAACUAUUGAAGUCGACUGCAGGCAACGACAGGCAACCGGAGAUCAGAAAUUCAGCUUGAUCAGCCUUAAGUAUAUGCUUCAUGAUGAACAACGUAAGACAUCAAUCUUGGUUAAAUGUUAUACAGAUCAACGAUUGGACAUUCCUUCUACUUAAUGCUACAUCAACAUGUAAUACUUGAUAGACAAUACCCUUCAAUUAUUUUGUGACUGAACUGUGAAAUGUGAACACAAUCCCAACCCUUGAAUUAUGAUCAUAGGAUUUACUUCGACCAGUAUACAUACUAUAUAACAUAUUAUAUAUUAUAACUAUGACAGUGGGUUGCAUACGUACGAUGUUUCAGGAAGCCUGUGAACCCGGCUUGUAAUAUGCAAUUUUUUAGCAUUAUCUGUGAUAGCUGCACUGAAAGUAUUUUGGGGUCUUGUAUUUCUACUUGUAAACUUAACUCUUUACUGGUUUUAUGUCAUAUGUUAUUUAUCAUAUUUGGCUUUUGUAAUUGAUCGCGGGUGCAAUUAAACUUAACUUAUAACUGUUGUGCAUGUUGGCAAAUGGCAUACUUAUAUUGACUGAAACGAGUUAUUGAUGGUAUGAAAUGUAUUCGAAUUCUUGUGACUUGUCUUGCUUAGAUAGACC